UUUAAAGAGAGUUUGAUCCUGGCUCAGGACGAACGCUGGCGGCGUGCCUAAUACAUGCAAGUCGAACGAACGGAGGAAGAGCUUGCUCUUCCAAAGUUAGUGGCGGACGGGUGAGUAACACGUGGGCAACCUGCCUGUAAGUUGGGGAUAACUCCGGGAAACCGGGGCUAAUACCGAAUGAUAGAAUGUGGCGCAUGCCACGCUUUUGAAAGAUGGUUUCGGCUAUCGCUUACAGAUGGGCCCGCGGUGCAUUAGCUAGUUGGUAGG
rnacentral:rRNA from 1 species